AGGUGACCAACAGCGAUAAGACACACAGCUGCAAGGCCAAGUUGACACAAAUGGAAUAACCUACAGAAACAUUAGACAAAAAGAAGUACCCCAAUAUCAGCUGACACUGGGAAGAUUAUACAACGUGAUUUCCUGUGAUGUGACUCCUGCUUUGACGAAGAACGUUUGACUCCUUCCUGCUGGUUGAUUGCAUGAGAACCGCCACAUUCGUAUCUUUAUAUGGUCUCCAGACAGAGAGAACCUGGAGAGCUGGAGACAUCUCUGGAAAUUCUAAAGUGAACCUACAACUGAAUGUAUUUGCUUGAAAUACAGUAUUCUGCUACAUAUUUGA